AAUCUGGCGCGCGCGCUCACACAUUGAACGCGUGGAGCGGAGUAGGGACUGCCGCGUGGAUUUUGCUCCACUGACGCGCCCCGUCAGCUGCUUCGGCUACUUGUUGCCUGACGAAGAGGAGGCCGGACAUCUGAACACGAUGGGAUCGCCGCACGGUUACCGAGCGUGCCGGCGGCUUUUCGACGACGGCGAAGACCGGGCCACCAGGCGCACCUUGGACAAGAUGCAGGAGGACAGCUCGCGGACCUGGAACUUCGACUUCGGACGGGACCGACCGAUGCAGGGCCGAUACCAGUGGCAGCGCUGCGGAGACGACGACAAGCGGACGUCGACGCAGUGGCGCUGCUGGGGCGACGCGUCGCCCGGAUCAGAUUCCCGCAGACAGAAAGACAAGAGCUGCUCCUUCAAAGGAAGAUGCGAUGACGUGAUCGGGCGCUCCGAGAUGACAGGGAGGACUCCGUACUGACAACCGUUGACUUCCGUCAACGAAAAACAUGGACCUUCCAGACAAGGCAAGCCACGCAAGCUCGCCUUCACUGGUCUCAAGCACCACAGGUGUUCAUCGGCUGAGAGCCUCCAUACAUGACUGAUGUUGGGUGAAAAACAAUAUGCUACAUCAUUGAUGAGAAAUUAUAUAUUUCUCAGCAAAAAAUGAGGAAUGCAUACGGACGUCUCGGCUACCACAUAAGCUCAAAGUUCCGUGGUAGCUUACAGGAGGUCCGUUAUAAUAUGUAUAGUUGUUUGUUAUACUAUAUUGGCUUAUACUUUGCAACACAGCAAUACUAAACAUGAACAGAGUGCCUUAAACUGUCAAAUGUGAUGGGGUCGAUAUACAGUUGCUACAAGUUCUUAACGACAAUCCAUGCAUUGUAAUCUGAGAACCUGCUCUUGUAUUUCAACUCUAUCUUAUCUAUGAAAAACUAUUUCGUCCUGUUCCUUCUGGGAAUAUAUUGUCACCAUAACUGCAUAGUGCAUUAUCCCUGCAUCUAUGUACAAACUUCGGUUCAAAUAUAGAUUUGUUGAGAAGGCCAGGAGCUAUGAAAAAGAAGACUGGUUCUAAGAAUAGCACAAAUAAAAUGUCCGUGCGCUUAGAUUCAAGUGCACGCUAAAGAAUUCCAGGUGGCUUCUUUCUAACCACGUGUCUUGUAAACACACCAUAAUUUUGGCACAUAAAACGCUGCAAUUUAGCUCUUUUUUUUUGUCCAAGGAAGAAACGUUCUGGCAGAUACAGUAUGUUCCUGUAGUUCUUCUGAUCAUUCUUUUUUAUUCCGUUUGCUGCGGUGAGAUAUCCAGUAAGAAUAAGCUCACUGUUUCUUCUCUCCAAUGAAGGAAGGAAUGUAUGCAAUGCAGUCCUUCACAGAAGGCCCUCUGUCAAAUGAAGAUUAGGCGAAUACGACUUUGCAGGCGCAGAUAUAUGAUCUUAGAGGGCAGCGUAGAAGUUACUAAAGGAACCCUGGCGUUCUUAUAGUCUAUCGCGCACUGCCAUUUUUUCGGAGACGUCCCAUCCGGACGACACAGAGUUAUCAGAUUAUCAAACGAUCACUCGCUUCUUUAUUCCCAUAAAGAAAUGCUGUGAUCGUAGUGGAAUAUGACAUGUAUAUAGAAAUUUCUUAUUUACACAAUUUCUCUAUUUUUUGUUCUGAUCAGUAUUUUAAUGUCCGUUAUAUUUACGCAAUCGGAAGGGCAAUGUUUUUAUUUAAAGUGUGUACAAAUCCACAACGAUCUCUGAGGCACACGCCAGAAGGUGGUCCGACCUUGACAAAGUGUAUUGCGGUGAUUUUGUAGGUUGAUCAUAUUCUUCAGUGAAUUCACAUGCUUUACUGAUUCUCUUUCGCCUGUUCAGUGGCAGCUAGAUGCGACAAGAUGAAGGUUUAUCCACCUCGAUUAUUUACUUUUAAUAUUUAACGUUACCAGCUUGUAUUUUAAGACUUAGGCAGGAGUGGAUACUGAAGAGAAGGUUCUACAGCAGCGCAAGAUCAAUUUUGCAACGAAAGGAAGGAAUUGUGAUAUGGGAAGCAUUCGUGAAACUUUUAAUGAAAUCAAAACAGCCGCAUUACCCGGUAGUCACGUACACUGCUGUGAGUGAUGUACAAAGGUUAUAUUCGUAUGGCCAACGCAGCUAGUACAAGUACACUAUUCUCUGCAAAAUUAAAUUAUGCCAGUAGUUUUAACGUACGGAAAUGAAAACCGCAGUAUUACGUAUACAGUGAUCGACACUACCGCUAAAGCAUAUAAGAGAACACCAACCUGUGUGGUAACAAAUUUCACGUCGUUAAAUACGAAAUAUUGAUAGAAGAGCACAAAAUGAUGGUUUCACCCUUAUUUAGCAGCAAUAUUAAGCGUGAUAGUAUAAAAAGAAUUCGGCUGUGGAGAAGACAGUAGAGUGACAUGUGCUCGAGCUACUUUUCACUGACAACGUACUUUGUUCAAGCAUGACCAACUUCACGCGGUGCCUCCAACCUUGUGAAAACUCAGUUUGUACAGCUAUAUAUUCUGAAUAAAUUUCAAGGAAUAUAUGUGAGAAUACUCGCGAGAACUAUUUUUUUCCUAAGCGUACAGGCGACAUAUAAGCGUUAUUAACUGCCAAAGUAUUUUUCCGUUUGUUUUGUACUUAUCGGCUGGUGCUGGUGGGAAGGUGGUAAUAUGUAGAGUGCUCUAUAUGGGGCGCACAGGUGUUCACACUGUAUAUCCCUCACAUGUUAUGAUCAAUACGCCUGUUGCGUUCCCUGUUUUCUGUUUCCCUGUUGUUCAGCUGUUACAGUCAGUCGAUCGAAUACAUUGUCAAAAGUCCCCAUUAAUGGGAGAAAUAAUCAUGUUGCACAAGUGAUUUUGCAUAGCAUAACACUUCUAUAGUCGGUUACAAACUGAGAAAAAUGCAUGCUUGGCCUAAAGGCGUCGCUGUACCACCCACAGAAAAUUUGCAUAGGUGCUCCAUCCAAUCGCAUUUCGUUAUUUCCGUGACGUCAAGCUGGUCCGUGUAUUAUCAGUUAGCUGAUAUUGUUAUACAGACAUGUUCAUGUCGCUGGUUUUUGGUCGAAAACUUAAACUUCCUGGCAAAUUUCGGCAAAGAUUCCGACAUCACCUCGGGGAAACGUAAUACUUUAAGCAUGGACGACGAUCUUUUAAUCGGUAAUAUGCGUACUCUUUAUAUUACCAGCGAAAAAGUACUUAAGGUUAGAACGGAAACUGGAUAGCACGACUCUCUCGGACAGUUUUGGGGGCGGUGCUUGUGUGCAUUCUUAAGUUGUUACCGACUACAGUAUGUGCUCAUAGACCUUACCCGACGUCUCAAAGGGACCACAAGAUUGUAACCUCACGAUAUUCCUACAUUUGUAUCCUUGGUAGCAUUUUAGCGUGUAUAGAAUGCCUUGUCGGUUUUUAGGCGCUAACAAUUUGCCCAGGUCUGUAGCUGUCCACCUUCAAUAGUUAUGCUUAGUUACUGACACAGUAUGGGCAAAAAUACGUAGUCAUUGUGAAAUUAUUGUUACGACAAUAUUCGGCUAUUUAUUGCCGUAGACAUGAUUUCUGUGCUUAUAUGCAGCAAUUUCUAAACGAUGCAUUGGUUUACGAUCACUGGCUUGCACGUCAAAAUAAGUCUUGAUGCCCAUAUUAACAAGCACAUGCGUUCUCACUUGAUCAGAAAUUUCUGAAACAUCUCUAGAAAGACACUGACAUUUGAAAUAUUUAGUUUGGGUCUUCCGUAAUAGUGUUUUCCUUCUAAGUCUGCAUAACAAUGACGUGUGAGCAGUGAUUACAUAGCUCACUCCUGAAGCAAACCGAGUGCCACAUCCUUGUCAACAUUACACCUCUGAGCCCAUGUUGCUUGUUUGGUUCUUUCAGUCUGGCAAUAUGUUGUCGACAGUUACUAUAUGGCUUUGUCAACUGAAAUAUUGUUAUUAUUGUGGCCCCGUCCGCUGUCGCUUGCUUGUGAAAAAAAAUUUCGUUGAUUUUUUUAUGGUUGUACAUUCUGAAAUAUUGAUUCAACGGGGAUAAGAUCUUGAUAUUAUGUUAUGUCGCUAUGUGGUUUAGCAUCUUGUCGUACCGUGCAGCGCUCGCUGACUUGAAUGUGAUACCGCAUGCAUCAUACUUCAUAUGAUAAAUAUUAUUAUUCAUCAACGAUGCUCAUACCUUGUUUGCCAUCAUCGUACUCAAAUCUUGGGAAUUUGUGUUUUCAUAUUGUAUUGGUGGAGAAAAUUUUCCUGUGCAUUAUUGUUCCGGUGACAAUUUGAAGCGCAUGCACAUUCUCGGUGUGUACUGCGCUAUUGUAUGUAUAAAAGUGUUGAGUUUAACUUCCUGUCGUAAAAAAUAAAAUAA